AACGACUCUCGGCAACGGAUAUCUCGGCUCUCGCAUCGAUGAAGAACGUAGCGAAAUGCGAUACUUGGUGUGAAUUGCAGAAUCCCGUGAACCAUCGAGUUUUUGAACGCAAGUUGCGCCCGAAACCUUUUGGUUGAGGGCACGUCUGCCUGGGCG
rnacentral:rRNA from 1 species